CUACACCUUGCAUGUGAUGGGCACUAUCAGUUUAGUCUCUGAUCAGUGUGAGGUAGUUACAAGUCCCCUGCAGACCAGACUGCCAGCACACAGAUGUGACUGCCUUCACCUUUCCACGUGGAGCAAUUUAUGCCAAUUCUAGACAACUCCAGAUGUGUGUCUUUCCCACCAGUAUCUGCAGAGACUUGGCUCUGGAGAUAGAAUUAUGUUUGCCAACAGGCAGCGUCCCUGUGCCUUCAGACCCAAGGGUCGAGUUCCUGCUGCCACACUUUCAUCCCUGGCUCUGCUGCCAGAUGUGCUGUGGGAUGGAGGGCAGACAUGCUGGCCCUGAGUCUAAUCUGUCAUCAGCUGAGAGGCUGCUGGCUCCCGCAGUGCCUGUGAACCAAAGCUGCUCUGUUUGUUCCUCUCCCUUCGUCCUGAGCCAGGCAGUGCCAGA